UACGUAGGGGGCUAGCGUUGUCCGGAAUCAUUGGGCGUAAAGCGCGUGUAGGCGGCAGGGCAUGUCGGAUGUGAAAUCCCGUGGCUCAACCACGGAAGUGCACCCGAAACUGCCCAGCUUGAGUCUCGGAGAGGAAGGCGGAAUGCUUGGUGUAGAGGUGAAAUUCGUAGAUAUCAAGCGGAACACCGGUGGCGAAGGCGGCCUUCUGGACGAUGACUGACGCUGAGACGCGAAAGCGUGGGGAGCAAACAGG
rnacentral:rRNA from 1 species